AUGGCACAGGAGAAGAGACGAGCACCUGCACCCCGUGGGCUGCUCCAAGGAGCACUAGAGGAUCUACGCCGACUGGUUCGCCAUCACCGACCCAGGUGCUUGUUUCGCAAACUUCACGGUUCCCACCACCAGCGCCCCCAAACCGAAGGAUUGGGAGGGGAUGGACGGCGCUUCACUAAUUCUCAAGUGGCCACGUCCCAAACUGUCCCUGCAAAUGGAGACAGGCGCGUCACGGGCGCCAAGGCUACCAAGUUCUUCGCCAUGUCUUGUAGUCUGCAAGUCCUUUUUUGCUCUUUGAGAGGCGCCACAUACUCAGGGCAUAGAAGGGCUCUUGCACCGGGAGGUAUCAUGGUCUGUAAGGCAAGCAUCAUGUUUAUCAAGCAGUGGUGUGCAUUGGCAUUUCAUUCGAUUUGGAUGACAAAAAAAUAUGAGAACGAAAAUAUGCUUCCAAACAAUGAUUCAGAUCCUAAACAGGAUGUCGACGAGGCAACAACUCAUGCAUUACAGAGGUCUAUAUUUGAGAGGUUUUUAUCCAUGACCAAAGUGGUAAAAUUGAUAAAUCGGAGCCGUGUGAUGCUCUUCUCAGUCCGGGUUAUUCAGUUUCUCCAACUGUGCUAG
rnacentral:rRNA from 1 species